GCUUAACACAUGCAAGUCGAGGGGCAGCAUUUCAGUUUGCUUGCAAACUGGAGAUGGCGACCGGCGCACGGGUGAGUAACACGUAUCCAACCUGCCGAUAACUCGGGGAUAGCCUUUCGAAAGAAAGAUUAAUACCCGAUGGUAUAAUCAGACCGCAUGGUCUUGUUAUUAAAGAAUUUCGGUUAUCGAUGGGGAUGCGUUCCAUUAGGCAGUUGGUGAGGUAACGGCUCACCAAACCUUCGAUGGAUAGGGGUUCUGAGAGGAAGGUCCCCCACAUUGGAACUGAGACACGGUCCAAACUCCUACGGGAGGCAGCAGUGAGGAAUAUUGGUCAAUGGGCGCAGGCCUGAACCAGCCAAGUAGCGUGAAGGAUGACUGCCCUAUGGGUUGUAAACUUCUUUUAUAUGGGAAUAAAGUUUUCCACGUGUGGAAUUUUGUAUGUACCAUAUGAAUAAGGAUCGGCUAACUCCGUGCCAGCAGCCGCGGUAAUACGGAGGAUCCGAGCGUUAUCCGGAUUUAUUGGGUUUAAAGGGAGCGUAGGUGGACAGUUAAGUCAGUUGUGAAAGUUUGCGGCUCAACCGUAAAAUUGCAGUUGAUACUGGCUGUCUUGAGUACAGUAGAGGUGGGCGGAAUUCGUGGUGUAGCGGUGAAAUGCUUAGAUAUCACGAAGAACUCCGAUUGCGAAGGCAGCUCACUGGACUGCAACUGACACUGAUGCUCGAAAGUGUGGGUAUCAAACAGGAUUAGAUACCCUGGUAGUCCACACAGUAAACGAUGAAUACUCGCUGUUUGCGAUAUACAGUAAGCGGCCAAGCGAAAGCAUUAAGUAUUCCACCUGGGGAGUACGCCGGCAACGGUGAAACUCAAAGGAAUUGACGGGGGCCCGCACAAGCGGAGGAACAUGUGGUUUAAUUCGAUGAUACGCGAGGAACCUUACCCGGGCUUAAAUUGCAUUUGAAUAUAUUGGAAACAGUAUAGCCGUAAGGCAAAUGUGAAGGUGCUGCAUGGUUGUCGUCAGCUCGUGCCGUGAGGUGUCGGCUUAAGUGCCAUAACGAGCGCAACCCUUAUCUUUAGUUACUAACAGGUCAUGCUGAGGACUCUAGAGAGACUGCCGUCGUAAGAUGUGAGGAAGGUGGGGAUGACGUCAAAUCAGCACGGCCCUUACGUCCGGGGCUACACACGUGUUACAAUGGGGGGUACAGAAGGCAGCUACCUGGUGACAGGAUGCUAAUCCCAAAAGCCUCUCUCAGUUCGGAUCGAAGUCUGCAACCCGACUUCGUGAAGCUGGAUUCGCUAGUAAUCGCGCAUCAGCCAUGGCGCGGUGAAUACGUUCCCGGGCCUUGUACACACCGCCCGUCAAGCCAUGAAAGCCGGGGGUACCUGAAGUACGUAACCGCAAGGAGCGUCCUAGGGUAAAACUGGUAAUUGGGGCUAAA
rnacentral:rRNA from 1 species